ACGGGAGGCAGCAGUGAGGAAUAUUGGUCAAUGGACGAGAGUCUGAACCAGCCAAGUAGCGUGCAGGAUGACGGCCCUAUGGGUUGUAAACUGCUUUUGUACGGGAAUAAAGUGACCUACGUGUAGGUUUUUGCAUGUACCGUAAGAAUAAGGACCGGCUAAUUCCGUGCCAGCAGCCGCGGUAAUACGGAAGGUCCGGGCGUUAUCCGGAUUUAUUGGGUUUAAAGGGUGCGUAGGCGGGAAGUCAAGUCAGCCGUAAAAUCGCCGGGCUCAACCCGGUCCCGCGGUUGAAACUGUCUUCCUUGAGUACACUAGAGGGCGAUGGAAUUCGUGGUGUAGCGGUGAAAUGCAUAGAUAUCACGAAGAACUCCGAUUGCGUAGGCAGUCGCCUGGGGUGCCACUGACGCUGAGGCACGAAGGUGCGGGUAUCAAACAGGAUUAGAUACCCUGGUA
rnacentral:rRNA from 1 species